CGGUGAAUACGUUCCCGGGCCUUGUACACACCGCCCGUCAAGCCAUGGAAGCCGGGGGUACCUGAAGUUGGUGACCGUAACAGGAGCUGCCUAGGGUAAAACUGGUAACUAGGGCU
rnacentral:rRNA from 1 species